rnacentral:rRNA from 1 species
GUCUACAGCCAUGCUACCACGAACAAGCCAGAUCCCAUCUGAUCUCGGAAGCUAAGCAAGGUCAGGCCUGGUUAGUACUUGGAUGGGAGACCACCUAGGAAAACCAGGUGCUGCAGGCG